rnacentral:lncRNA from 1 species
UGGGCUUUGUGUUUAAGGCGAGGUGCCAUCAGGAGGUUAAGAUUUGAAGUCAGCAAUAUUGAGACCAUGCAACACGUGUUUGUUUUUGAAAAUGUUGGUUGUGAAUUGGUUCAUCAAUAGGGUCAAUUUUACUUUCUACCAAGUACGCAUAUGGUGAAGACGUUUUUUUCACUACGUAGAUUGUGCAAGUAAUUUUUUUUAAUUCCAAUUCAAAUUGAAGGUCAUAUGCCUUGCAAUCUAUCAGAAACUUUUAAAUGUGUUUUAGUGUAAUGUAUGCUUACAAUGUGUCCAGGUAAUAUAAAAUAUUUCGAAAAUUAUUUAAACGAUUUCGAUUUUUCUUUUGUUUUAGGAUUACUUUGUGUUUCUUCUUCAUGUGUUUCAUCUUUUUUUUUUUUUGAAUCCAAAGCUUAUAUUCUGGUUUAAAAAUAAAGAUACUAUCCUGUGCAGACUUCACUCGUGCACUAUACAUUUCUUGUGCAUAAAUAUG